rnacentral:rRNA from 1 species
CUGACGUUAGCGUCGGACGGGUGAGUAACACGUGGGUAACCUACCUAUAAGACUGGGAUAACUCCGGGAAACCGGGGCUAAUACCGGAUAACACAUGAAACCGCAUGGUUUCAUGAUGAAAGACGGUUUUGCUGUCACUUAUAGAUGGACCCGCGGCGUAUUAGCUAGUUGGUAAGGUAACGGCUUACCAAGGCAACGAUACGUAGCCGACCUGAGAGGGUGAUCGGCCACACUGGAACUGAGACACGGUCCAG